CGGUGGAGCAUGUGGUUUAAUUCGAAGCAACGCGAAGAACCUUACCAGGUCUUGACAUCCCGAUGCUAUUUCUAGAGAUAGAAAGUUACUUCGGUACAUCGGUGACAGGUGGUGCAUGGUUGUCGUCAGCUCGUGCCGUGAGGUGUUGGGUUAAGUCCCGCAACGAGCGCAACCCCCGCCGUUAGUUGCCAGCGGUUCGGCCGGGCACUCUAACGGGACUGCCCGCGAAAGCGGGAGGAAGGAGGGGACGACGUCUGGUCAGCAUGGCCCUUACGGCCUGGGCGACACACGUGCUACAAUGCCCACUACAAAGCGAUGCCACCCGGCAACGGGGAGCUAAUCGCAAAAAGGUGGGCCCAGUUCGGAUUGGGGUCUGCAACCCGACCCCAUGAAGCCGGAAUCGCUAGUAAUCGCGGAUCAGCCAUGCCGCGGUGAAUACGUUCCCGGGCCUU
rnacentral:rRNA from 1 species